rnacentral:rRNA from 1 species
UACGUAGGGCGCAAGCGUUGUCCCGGAAUUAUUGGGCGUAAAGAGCUCGUAGGCGGUCUGUUACGUCCGCUGUGAAAACCCAGGGCUUAACCCUGGGCUUGCAGUGGAUACGGGUAGACUAGAGGCAGGUAGGGAGAAUGGAAUUCCCGGUGUAGCGGUGAAAUGCGCAGAUAUCGGGAGGAACACCGGUGGCGAAGGCGGUUCUAGCUGGGCCUGACCUGACGCUGAG